AGAGCGAACGCUGGCGGCAGGCUUAACACAUGCAAGUCGAGCGGGCGUAGCAAUGCGUCAGCGGCAGACGGGUGAGUAACGCGUGGGAACGUACCUUUUGGUUCGGAACAACCCAGGGAAACUUGGGCUAAUACCGGAUAAGCCCUUACGGGGAAAGAUUUAUCGCCGAAAGAUCGGCCCGCGUCUGAUUAGCUAGUUGGUGAGGUAAUGGCUCACCAAGGCGACGAUCAGUAGCUGGUCUGAGAGGAUGAUCAGCCACAUUGGGACUGAGACACGGCCCAAACUCCUACGGGAGGCAGCAGUGGGGAAUAUUGGACAAUGGGCGCAAGGCCUGAUCCAGCCAUGCCGCGUGAGUGAUGAAGGCCCUAGGGUUGUAAAGCUCUUUUGUGCGGGAAGAUAAUGACGGUACCGCAAGAAUAAGCCCGGCUAACUUCGCGCCAGCAGCCGC
rnacentral:rRNA from 1 species